UUUUUCUUUUCUUUUUUGAAGUCAGGUCUCUUGCUCUGUAACCCAGGCCAGGGUGCAGCACCACCAUCCUGGCUCACGGCUCCCUUGACCUCCCAGGAUCAGGCAAUACUCACACCCCGGCCUCCUGAGUAGCUGGGGUGUCCUCCAGGAUGUCAUGUGCACAUCACCAGACCCGGUUAAGUUUUAAAACAGUUUUUACAGAGACAGGGUCUCACUAUGUUGCCCAGGCUCCUUCUAUUUUCUUUAAAAGUUCAGUGAUUUUACCUCUCAAUAUUUUAAUUAAAUUUAUAAUUUGGCAAUUUAUUUUAAAUUUCAAGAUCUACUUUUAAACCUUGGAUUGUUACUUCAUCUGAGUAUGCUAGUAUACUAAUUAGGUUUUCCUUUCUACAUUCUCUGAGGUUUCUGUUUAUCUCCCCCACACUCCAUGUUGGAGACUUCUCUUAAAAAUCUAGUAACGCUUAGUUGUCUGUUCAUACAUAAGAUGAGGCAGUUGGAAUGCUGAUGGGGAGUCUUGUGAACUUGGGAGGUGUCUUAGUCUAUUUUAUGUUGCUAUAAAGGCAUGCCUGCGGCUGGGUAAUUUAUAAAGAAAACGGGUUUAUUUAGCUCACAAUUCUGCAGGCUCUACAAGCAGCAAGGCACUAGCAUCUGCUCAGUUCUGGUGUCAUGCUGCAUCAAAACAUGGCGGAGAAGGUCAAGGAAAAGUGUCUGUGCACAUGCAAAGAGAAAUCAAACCCGAGGUGAGUCCUGGCUUUAAAACAAGCCACUCUCAAACGAGCAAAUCCAUUCUCCUGAUAACCAAUGUAGUGUCGCAAGUGGGAGAACUCACUAUUGUAAGAAUGACACCAAGUCCUUCAUGAAGAAUCUGCCCCCAUGACCCACACACCUCCCACCAGGACCCACGUCCCAAUACUAUCACACUGGUAAUCAAAUUUCAACAUAGAUGUGGUCGAGACAAAAAUACCACAUCCAAACCACAGCAGGAAGUUCCUGCCAACCUGCCCAACUUCACUUUACAGUGGGUGGGUAGGAAAUCAGCUAUUGUGCUAGGAUAAAGAAUGCUUUACUCUUAGGCCAUUCAAUACUCAGUUAGCCCAAAUCUCCCCAGAUUAUCAGAAUACUUAAUUUUAGCCUGGGAUAAAUGCCUAGAUAUUGUAUCUGAGACAGAGGGAGAGUUCUGUUCUUCCUCAUAUAGACCUUUAUUUAGUCUCCCUGUUCUCAAUCCUGCUUCUCACUCUCGCUCUGUCUUGUAGGUAUCUCCAAAUCUCGGUCUCCCUAAAGCAGUUCUGGGCUGACAGCCCCCCCUUCCUUUCUGCAGCACCCUCUACACCCAUUCCACAUUAUGGUUUUCUUCAUUUUAUUUUGUCAGACCACACUUACUUUUCACAUGUCGAAUUGAAAAACAAUUAUCUUCCGAUGCCCCCCUUCUCCUUUUCUAUUUUGUAUCAUUUUUAUUUAUCAUCAUUUUAUGGGGUCUCAGGAAGAAGAGGCAGUAAAUACAUGUGCUUGGGUAGCUAGCUUUAACAAAAAAUCCUAAAUGUAGGUUUUAAAAAAGAUCUCUGGAGCAGGGUAGGAAAAUAAUAUUUGUUGCCAGUGUGGUGGCAAAAAAUAAAAAAUAAAAAUCUGAAUCUGUGUUAGGACAGUAUUUCUGUGUAUAACAUAGCGCUCAGCAACUUAACUCUCCAGAUCCACGUAUUUUAAGGACACGAUGUAUCUCAGACACCGACUUCAAACCUCACUUUACAGUUAAGUAAGACCACAAGUAGAAUGAUUUGCCUGAGGCCACACAAGUAGACAGUUGGAGAAUGAGAACAGAAAGAUCUAUUGACUCUCAGUUCUAUUUUCUCUUACCUUACCACACUGCUAGGGAGUAACAAGAUGGGCAGAUCACGAGUCAGAUGAGAAAAGUCAAAGGAUGACUUUUCCUGGGUAAAUAGCCGGAUGUCCAAGAAAUGAAAUGCUGGUCUGGCAGCACAUCGUCUAACAGUUGGUAGUCGUAUGUGGGAAGUACUGAAUGGAGAGAUGACAGCAGGCCCAGGAACUGCAAUCAUCCAAGUGCAUGUCGAUCCUGGGAGGGAACAAUUAAGAGUCCGGGCAGGAUGAAAAACAGUAGAAACCGGUGAGUGAAUGCAUGUGAACGCAGAGAAGCGACUGGAAUUUGUUAGUGGGAUUAUGAGGCAGUGGUUAAUUACGGUGGCGGAGGUGAGUAGGAGUAAAAUGAUGGCUUUUAACUCCUUUUAAGGACACCGAGAAUUAUUUUAAUAAACACUGGAAGGCUGGGAAUAAAUAUAAUUCACACCAUUCUUACUUUCUUGAUUUAGAGAUAAGCUUAUCUACAUCCUUAAAUUAAUGGCCGUAGCUACCCUCUGCAUGGUUCCAGAAAAAAAAAAAACCAAAACCCAAACCGGCUGCGAGUCUGCACGAGAAAACCGGGUUGCUCCAGGCCCCAGCCGCCCGCCGACUCGCCUAGCUGUCGGAGGCCAAAUACACAGCUCCCGAAGCCGCGUCGGGCACCGCGCAGGGUCGGAACCGGGACACUAAUUUCCGCCCACGCUCCCCGCGUCCGGGCCGGAUCACCACAGAACACGACGUCCAUUGCUGGGGUCCUCGGCGAUGCCCGUGUGCGCAGCCCCGCGAGUCUCAGGUCAGAUGGCCGCUCAUUUCGCGGCCACGUUCCGCCAAGCUAAGGGGCAAAAAACCAGCUUUGGUGGAACAAAGCGUGCCCCCAGCAGCCACGGUCGGUCCCCGCGCUGGUCCCGCGGCGCUGGGCGGCCCCGGGCGCGGGUAACGGGCCACGGGAAGAAGG
ensembl:lncRNA